UACGUAGGGGGCAAGCGUUGUCCGGAUUUAUUGGGCGUAAAGAGCGUGUAGGCGGCCGUACAGGUCAGCUGUGAAAACUCGAGGCUCAACCUCGAGACGUCGGUUGAAACCGUACGGCUAGAGUCCGGAAGAGGAGAGUGGAAUUCCCAGUGUAGAGGUGAAAUUCGUAGAUAUUGGGAAGAACACCGGUGGCGAAGGCGGCGACCUGGUCCGAUACUGACGCUGAGGAGCGAAAGCGUGGGGAGCGAACAGG
rnacentral:rRNA from 1 species